UCAGUCCCUGUUGGCGCAUGUCAGUCUGCAACUCGAUGCUUAGCCUGCAUUUACCAGUUCUGCUUGUCUUUCAGCCUGUCUGCUCUACAUUUGUGUUUUCCCUGGAUUAUUUCAUUAUUACCUGCCUGGACUAUUUAUUGUUUUAAUGUUUUGGAUUUUGGAUGUUACGUUCCCCCUUUUGGAUAUCCUGUUUUUUGUUGGACUACCUUGUUUUGCUGGACUAGUCCUUUAAGUAGGACUCUGAACCUGUAAAUUGUUCUGUCACUCCGGGAUUUACAACAUCCUGCUUGGUUAGUGCCUUGCAAUUUGACGAUAGAGGGUUACAAAGGGUGUUUGAUUCCAAACUUCGAAUGGACAUCCUGUGUUCCUCUGGGUGAGGCGAAAAAUUGACAUAAACAAAAGAACUCCAGGAUGAUUCACAUAGACAGACUCAUCUGGAAACCUCAUCUAAGUGGCUUCAGUUCAAUGGUUUUGCAUCACAUUGCUGUCCUCCUUCUCCUAACUCACUCUUGUGGAGGUCAGUCUCAGGUGACUGGUCCAUCCCAGCCAAUAGUGGCGAUGAUUGGUGAUGAUAUAAUUUUGCCAUGUUACCUGGAACCUGCUGUGGAUGCUGCAGACAUCACUGUGGAGUGGGCAAGACCUGACCUAGAACCCAGAUUUGUCCAUUUGAGGCGAGAUGGUGUGGAGCUUCUGCUUGAGGAGCAUCCAUUGUACAUGGGGAGAACAUCACUGUCCGUCAACAAACUCAAGCGUGGAGACAUUUCACUGAAACUCUCCAAAGUGAAGUUCUCUGACGCGGGAACAUACAGGUGCCUCGUCCCCACGCCUGGUACGGAAUCUGUAAUCGAUCUUGCUGUAGGCGCUGUCUCGUCACCUGAAAUACACAUUUCUACAGUCAGCAAAGGAGUGAUGUUAGACUGUAAAUCUAAAGGCUGGUAUCCAGAGCCUGAGGUGUUUUGGCUGGACGGUGAGGGAAACCUCCUCUCUGCUGGACCUACAGAGACAGUCAGAGGUCCUGAUGACCUCUAUACUGUCAGCAGCAGAGUGACUGUGGAGAAGAGACACAGCAACAGCUUCACCUGUAGAGUCCAACAGAAGGACAUCAACCAGACCAGACAAGUGGAGAUUCAUAUUCCAGACAGACACAGAUAAGACUCACCUUCUUGGCCUUCAGCAACCAGUGAAUAGGACAAAUUAUCACCUUGUGACUAUAAGAAUAUUAAAAUUUUUUGUGUGUUUUGAUUUCAGAUGAUUUUUUUGUUGUCCCACCUACUUCUGCUGUUCGUCUCAGCAUCACAGUGGCUGUUUGGUUCACAUGUGUUCUUAUUCUUGUUCUGGCUGCGUGGAAAUAUAGAGAUCAUCACAAAAUCAAAAAUGAUGAAGAUCAAGCAGAACGGGGAGACACAUCAAAGAAGAUCAAAACAUUUAGCAACGAUGCAGAACUUCAGUUACUGCUUGAAGGAGAAAGAGUGCAGCACAUGACAGACAGUGAACAACUUGUGUAUUUAGAUAAGAUGGUGAACAAACUUAAUGAAGAGUUACAAAGGAAUGAAGAAGAGUCUGAGAUAGUAAUAAAGGCAGUUGGUGCACUGAAAGAAUACAAGACAGAACUGGAUAACUACAGAUUUCAACUUGAACGACUCCCAGAAUGGAUUGAGAGGCAGAUUAACGUAUUCAAGAGACUUCAGUCCGACGCAUUUAGGGAUGAGAAGAAAAAUACCUAUCGAGAGAUCAUAACAGAUCUACAGAAGAGAAAAGAAGCAACUGGAAAACUGUUAGAGGACACAAAAAAACUACUUCAGAGAACAGAGGAGGAGGUGCUUCAGAAAACAGAACGAAAAAUAAAACUUGAGAAUUUAAAGGAGCCAAUUAAUGAACACCUGAAGGUGAUAAAAUCUCAGAGGGAUGAGAUUCUGGUGAAACUUCAGACAGAGUAAUCAGAGGAAGAGGGGGCUAAACUUGACAUUGUCCCUUAAUGCAUUCUCACUCCUUCUUGUCUCCUGUCAACUCGUCACCAUCAUCAUCUAACAAAGGCAUACCGCUGUGUCUAUAUUUGAUUACUGACUAUUUUAACAUUCCUUCCACCACUGGGUAAGGCUAAUUGUUCUCAGUUUUACCAAUUUUCAAUAAUUGCUCAUUUUAAAUGAUCUUAAAUGAAUCUGUCAAAAUGUUUGUUCUGUUCAUAUUAACUGUUCCGUUUUACUGCAGUUUACAGUACUCAGUGUCCUCUGGUGGCAGUGAGUGACAGUUCAGAACUGAAAUGGGGAGAGAAGGAAAUAAGUGUUACAGAAAGUUUGUGUCAAAACCAAAUUAAUGAGAAGUUGAAAAAUUUUAAAACAGAGGCAUGAUAAAAUAAUCACAUAAACCUGUAAAUAUGUUUACUAGUAUUGUAUCUGAUGACAAUAGUUGUAAUGGUUUAUUUUAAAUAUAUCUCUUGUAGUAUAAAAGUUUCAAAAUGCUGUCUGAUUUUUCACAUCGCGAUUAACCUCGUAUUUUAAGGGUUAAAAUUAUUCUUAUUAUUAUUAUUUACAUCUUAUUAUUAACUUACAUUAUAUUACAUUAUUUACAUCUUGUUUUCCAGUCAUUGUCAUUUUUUGUUCAAGUAUCAAAAGUACCAGUAUAAAUUUUCUGUUUCUCUGUAUGAAUAAAUAAACCCCAUAAAUAAAAGCUUCUUCAUUGUUAAUACAGUCACAGUGGAUGACAGAGCUGCAGUCUAGACUUGUGUGCGCUUCAAAAUGAGUUUAAUGAAUAAAUGGAAAAACACUGUCUCUA